rnacentral:rRNA from 1 species
CGUGUAGGCGGUUUGGCAAGUCAGAGGUGAAAUGUCCCGGCUCAACCGGGGACCUGCCUUUGAAACUGCUGAACUUGAGGCCGUGAGGGGAGACUGGAAUUCCUAGUGUAGCGGUGAAAUGCAUAGAUAUUAGGAAGAACACCAGUGGCGAAGGCGAGUCUCUGGCACGGUUCUGACGCUGAGGCGCGAAAGCUAGGGGAGCGAACG